CUUAAGUUAACUUAUACCACCGAGGUAGAUACAAAUAAAGCAAUGAAAUAACUUUUACAACAACCUUCUCUGAUUCAAGUUUGUACCCACUAAUCCUUUAAAUUAUGGUCUUUCUUUUUCUUGAUUACUCUUAAGUAUCUCACAAUCAUCUUAUCCAAGAAUUGUCGUAGGUAGUGACCAAAACCUUACUUUGGGCUGGCUUUACUGCUUUCAGAUUUUUAGCUCCCAUAUCAUUAACUGACAACACUAAUUUUGAUGAAUUACAAGGAAGCCAUUUGGACUUCAUGCUCUCGCUCUCAAAGAGGCAAAGGUCCCAAUUCUCAAAUUCCAAAUAGUUAGGCACACCAGAAAACCCAAUUAUGUUUGCAUUGCCUCAUGGAUGUCAGGCGAACCCAAAUUCUAAAUAACUGCAAAUGAAUUUGAUUUGGGUAUGAGUUAAUUCAACAAUGAAUCAAUACAAUACAGUAGUAAAAUAUUUCAUUUAUGAAUGAAACUACAGGAUUUUCAUAACGUUUAAAAAUAAUAGUAUGAUAGGAUCCAACCAACAUAAACAAGUGGCUAACCUGUUAUGAAUCUCUCACAAAAACGUGGAGCUCUUAUAAGUAUUUCAAGAUGUUUUCUCCAUCAGUUUAUUGGCGGCAGAAUGCUUGACUUGGCUCUGCCAUACACCCGUCCAUGACCUUUUCCUACAGUAUGAAUGGACUUCUCCAAAUGGAACAUGAUGUCCGGCUCACACUACAUAUUAAGUAAUUAAACAAGAAACUGUAUCAACUUUCUUGGAAUUGCAAAACAAUGGGGACCCAAAUAAAAAAAAAAUCAACAAGCUCUGUAUUUUUCAAGAUGAGUCUGAAAUUUAUUCAUCUGUAUCAUGAGAGAUCUUACCAAAAUUCCAAAUCCACAGUCCGCGGUUUCAAAUAACAAGUACAUGAAUUCCAAAAUUGCAAGCUCAUUGUGGAACAAGAAAGAAAUAAUGUUAAUCAACCAUUUACUAUUAACCACUGUUGAUAAUCACCACCAAAAAGCAUACCAAAGUAAAAAUGAUAUCAUCACAGCACACACACAGAAGAAACAUUUAUGCAGCAUGUUUCUGUACAAAUACAAAAUUAAGCGAGACCCAGAAAAUAAAGAUCAAAUCGUUAGAAACCCCAUCAAGCAAAAUCAUCAAAAACCACUCAUUGUCAAUGUCAGCCUUACAUGUCACACCACAACAAGAUUUUGAUACUUGACGGUCGCAGCAUUGGCAAGAAUAUCGCAUCUUUGAACCCUAAUUGCAAUCUUGAAACUUCCAACGAUUGGCGUAGACUAAGAUCUCUGAGGCGCAUGUUAGCAACAAGGAAGCACAUUCACUACUGAGAUUGUGUGCCCGUCAUAAAGUCACAGAGCAACCCCAGAAGCAUAUAAUUUUAUCUUGAUUUAGAUUUCAAGCAUCAGAAAAUGAAAGUCACUUCGCUUAUAAUUUUAUCUAGCGAAUUUCUUUUUUCUAAUUUUAAAAUAAAUUAUUGAUAAAACAGGUUUACUAAUUAAUACUUUCAAAUAAAAUAAAAAAUAACGAUUAUAAUCUCAAUUACUUUCACCGCACGUGCGCCUUAAAAAACCACCUGGAAAUUCAAAAUCCAACUACAACGGCAGGCAAACAUCACUCCGGUUAAUCAAGUUGAGGAUGCCACGACGCUAUUUUUCGCUGCCAUAUUUGUCAAUAGCGGUUAGUUGUUGGCUCUUAAAUUUUACACACCAAACUUCAAUAGUGUUGAAAAAUCAAAGAGUUUUGGUUGAAAAAACAAAGUGAGCCACAUGCAUUGCUUUUGUUUUUCAAAGUCAGCACCAAAUUCCAAGCUGUAAAAUAUUUGGCAUUUGACAAUCCUGCACCAAAUGAAGAAAAAUGGAAAAGUUAGCAAAAUUUAUCAAAUUGACAAAUUGCAGAGGAGUUAGGUGGAAUAGUGCAAGCUUGAAGCUUAUAAAUUGAAGUCAUUUCCUCAUUCUAAAUUAUCCUAAAAUUGUUAAGUUUAUAAGUUUCUAAGCUUUUGAGAGAAGUGAGAGAAGUAUGUCUGUAGAAUUUAUCUUUCCUGCAGAGUAUGAGAGUACUGAGUAUAUUUGGGUUUCUGGGAAGUGAGAUUCGUUACUCAAAUAUUAUACUCUAUUAAUUAUUAAAUAAACAAUUAUUCUUUCUUGCCUCCGUGGAUGUAGGUUUAAUUACCGAACCACGUAAUUCUUGUGUCCUUUAUUUUUCUAUAAUUAUUUGGUGCGCUUGAUUCCGCAUUCCGCGCAUAACAAAUAGUUAAUUUUUCCAGAUAAACUUAAUUAUGACGUAACAUAAUAUUCAGUUUCCUAAAUACUAAAUUCAAAUUAGAGACAUCGCUAACGGCUAUAUAAUUCCUACGCGCCCAUCAGAUAGCUAUAUAAGUGCCCCCAACAUAACAGACACCGCCUUAUCGCAACACUACUUGAUUAACAAGCAACUGGGAGAUUUUUCAAAUCCUAAGUUUUUUUUUUAGUUUCCAAAUUCUUCUUCAUUCAUCAACCAAAUCCUACCCACCAAAAAUCUUCUCAAACCCAUCUGAUUCAAUCUUUAGCAGGGUUAUUCAUAGGAAUCAACCGUUUAUUCGCCGACGCAGUAUCAAUCACCAUUGGUUGUUCUUACCAUUUUUCCACGGCAAGGUUACAUGGAUGUUGAUUGUACGACUUUCUUUAUCCAUGCUUUGCAUUGCCGUGUGUUUGGGAUUCCCUGGUGACUUUUGUUGGCUUUAAUCCCGUGUGUUUGGGAUUCGCUGGUGACUUUUGUUGGCUUUAAUCAUCUCUCAAAUUGUCAUAUCCUAACCCAUAAGCAACGCUCAGAUUGAAGACUUUUCUUGGCUUCAAUAGUUGAUGCAGAUUAUACAAAGUAUAAAUUGGCAUGGAGUCCAGGAUUUUCGAUAUAACAACAUAUCCUCAAAGCUAAUGAUAAUUAUAAUGUCAUCCAAAUUGUUCCUUCUAUUUGAAAAUAUAGCUUUGUUUUCUGUGAUAUUUUUCCAAUUGAAGCCCACAAUUGCUGAUUCUAACAACAUAAUAAUAAGGUGCAUUGAUGAGGAGAGAGAAGCGCUUCUCACUUUUAAACAGAGCUUGGUGGAUGAACAUGGCGUUCUGUCUUCCUGGGGAAGAGAAGAUGACAAAAGAGAUUGUUGUAAAUGGAGAGGAGUCCAUUGUAGCAACACAACUGGCCAUGUCAAGGUGCUUAAUCUUCGAACAUCCGACGAGGAAAACGCUCAGAGGAAGGUCUUGAAAGGUGAAAUUAGUCCUGCUUUGCUUGAAUUGCAUGAUAUAAGACAUUUGGACCUUAGUAACAAUCACUUCAGUGCAAGCCCAGUUCCUGAGUUCAUUGGUUCCCUCAGCAAAUUGAGGUACCUCAAUCUCUCUUGUAGCAUACCUUUAGAACUCCCUCGAAAAUUCCGGAACCAUUCAGGAUUGGAAUAUCCCAACCUAGAAAACUCUAGUUUAUUUAGUGUGGGAAGCUUAGAGUGGCUUUCUCGUCUUUCUUCUUUAAGACACCUUGACCUGAGUUACAUUAAUCUCACUAAAUCUAGUGACUGGUUUCAAGUAGUUUCCAAGCUCCAUUCCUUAAAAUCAUUAGUCCUAUGCUCGUGUGCUCUUCCACCUGUCAAUCCAUCGUUUAUUUGGCACUUCAAUUUGAGUACGUCUAUUGAGACCCUUGAUCUUUCUGACAACAAUCUCCCUUCUUCUUCAGUAUACCCUUGGCUUUUCAAUCUUAGCAGGAAUAUUCUUUAUCUUAACCUUGGCUCUAAUUCAUUACGAGGUUCAAUUCCAGAGGCUUUUCAACACAUGGUUUCUCUUAAAAGUCUUGAUCUCUGUGAUAGCGAACUUGAAGGUGGGAUUCCAAAAUUCUUUGGAAACAUGUGUAGCUUACAAAAGUUAGGCUUGUCUGAAAACAAACUCAGUGGACAAUUCUCGCAGGUAAUUCAAAAUCUGUCAGGUGGAUGCGUGGUGAACUCACUAGAGUGGCUAUAUUUAGGUUAUAAUGAAUUCACGGGGCCUGUACCUCAUCUUGGAGGAUUUUCAUCCCUGGAAGCAUUGAAGCUUCAGUUUAAUCGUUUAAAUGGAACAAUAGACAAGAGCCUCAGCCAGUUGUCGAAGCUCGAGUCUCUGUCACUUCGUAGGAAUUCAUUCACAGGAGUUAUCUCUGAAACUUUUUUUUCCAAUAUGUCCAACUUGCAGAUGUUGGACUUGGAUGAGAACUCUUUGACUUUGAAAUUGAGCCAUGAUUGGGUUCCUCCUUUUCAACUGAAAUGGUUAAGUCUUGCCUCUUGCAAGAUGGGACCUCAUUUUCCAAAAUGGCUUCAAACGCAGAAUCAGCUUGUGCUUCUUGACAUCUCCAAUGUUGGAAUCUCAGACAGUAUUCCUGAUUGGUUCUGGGAUUUGUCCAGUAAACUCUCUUACUUCAAUCUCUCUAACAAUCAUAUUAAGGGCAACCUUCCCGAUUUGUCUUUAAGGUUUGAUGGUACUCGUAGUGGUGGUACUUGUAUAGACCUCAAUUCAAACCACUUUGAGGGCCCAAUUCCACCACUUCCUUCAAAUUCGUUGUUCUUAAAUCUCUCUAAAAAUAAGUUCUCAGGGUCAGUUACUUUCUUAUGUUCCAUCAGUGAAAACACAUGGAACUUUUAAGAUCUCUCGAGUAACUUAUUGUCUGGAGGGCUUCCCAAUUGUUGGUUGCACUUUGAUAGCCUAUUCGUUCUUAACUUAGCAAAUAACAGCUUCUCAGGAAAAAUACCGGACUUGAUGGGUUUCCUAAAUAACAUCCGAGCACUCAAUUUUCACAACAAUAGGUUAACUAGGGAAUUGCCUUCAUCUUUAAGGAAUUGCUCGCAACUGAGAGUUUUGGAUCUCAGGAAGAACGCAUUCUUUGGUGAGAUUCCAACGUGGAUAGGGGAAAGUCUACAAAAUUUGAUUGUUCUUAGCCUAAAAUCUAAUAACUUUCAUGGAAAUAUAGCUUAUCAGUUGUGCAAUCUGGGAUUUAUUCAAGUCUUGGAUCUUUCUUUUAACAUUAUAUCGGGAAAGAUACCAAAGUGUUUCAAUAAUUUUUCAGCCAUGACCUAUGAAAGAUGUUCCAAUCCUACCAUUGGGUUCGCCAAAUCCUUCUUAGUUCCCCCUGGAAUUGGAUAUUACUAUAAAUAUUUGGUCAAUUUACUGUUGACUUGGAAAGGAAGUGAAAAUGAGUACAAAAGUACUUUGGGACUUGUAAGGUGCCUUGACCUUUCGAGUAACAAAUUAGAUGGAGCAAUUCCUGAAGAGAUUAUGGAUCUUGUGGGGUUGAUUGCCUUAAACCUUUCAAGAAACAAUUUAACCGGACCAAUCACUCCGAAGAUUGGUGAGUUAACAUCAUUGGAUUUCCUGGAUUUGUCUAGAAAUCUGUUUUCUGGAAGUAUUCCAUCUAGCCUCUCUCAGUUAAGUGGUCUUGGCGUCUUGGACUUGUCGUACAACAAUUUGUCAGGAAAAAUCCCAUCAGGCACUCAGCUCUAGAGCUUCAAUGCUUCAGUGUACGCUGGAAAUCUUGAACUUUGUGGCCUUCCACUUGCAAAUAUGUGUCCGGAUGAAGAAUCAACUCCAAGUCCAGGCACAGACAAUGAUUCAGACACUUUAAAAGAUGAGGACGAUCAGUUUAUAACUCUCGGAUUUUACGUGAGCUCGAUUCUUGGUUUCUUUGUUGGAUUCUGGGGAGUCUGUGGAACUUUAGUGCUGAAUAGGUCAUGGCGGUAUGGUUACUUCAACUUCCUGAUUGGUAUGAAAGAUUGGGUCUAUGUGAUAGCAGCUGUGAAUAUUAUCAAACUGCAAAGAAAGUUUAGGAACUAAUUAAACGGUAAUACUCCUCAACAUUGGGUUUCAAUCAUUGUAAUCAGCUCACGUGCUUUUAAUUUCUUUAUCCUUGAAUUUUACUAUUUUCUCUUACAAGCUUUUGUUCCUGUAACUAAUUGUUCAUUUUCUUUUUUUUUCAUUCACCAUCUUUUUGGCAGAGCAUCUCUGGGAUGGUAUCUUGCCAUUAUUGGUCAUUUGAUAUUUGGAAUCAUUCAAAAAAAUUAACUCAUAUGACGCACAUUGUGUUGUUGAGUGUAUGCUUCAAGAAACUUAUAUGUGGUUCUCUUUAGACCAUCGUCGAUCUAUACGUUUAUAUACUUAGGUUAGAGUUCUGUUAUACUAUUAAUCCAUUAUAGCAAUAAAAGCAAUCAAAUUCUGAUCUGCUAUUGAUCAAAGUUAGCUCUUUUUUUGUUUUCAGUGGGUGAAUAAAUAAUAAAAGACAAAACGAAUCUUUCUAUUUAGAGUUGUUGACCAUAAAACUACUAAAUGGAUGAUAAAAUUAAUUAAUUAAUUAAUUAAACUAGAAUAAUCUUAUUGACAAAGUAGCUGGUAGGUUCGUACGAUUCCGGAUCAUUGGUACUAAAAUGUGAAGGAAGAGAUCGACUUUUACAAUAAUUUGGUUUUACUAUAUUCGAAUUGGUUAUUGAUUAAAUUUGAUUAAAUUUCUAUGAUGGUGACAUAUAAUGGUGAUGAUCAAAGACUUAAAUAUUAUUUUCAGAGAAGACUGUUGACUUGAAUGCAGACUCAGUAAUAUGAUUGAAUAUCACACAAGACUUUUCUAUCCUAAUUUUUAUGAAUUUUCCAAACGUAUCAUCACAUUCAAGAUCCAGCUGACUCUAUAAUGUAACUAACGUGUUACUAACGCACAUUAAUAUUACAUCGCAUUUUCACUGCCACGGCCAAUUUCAGCGUUUCUCAUCAUUACUCUCUAUUUUGGCAAGUAUGGUAGGUGUUUUUUUCCCCCCUUGUACAAGGCUAGCACCGUGCGUGACACUAUCGGCACACAACAGUGGUGAAUAAUAAAAAGUUAAGUGUGUGAACAAUAUUGCCAAAUUAUUUUUUUUUUUUUUGAGGAGAACUAUUGCUCAUGAUAUUUACAACCAUACAAAUUACUAAGACCAAUUUACAUCAACUCUGAUAUGACACCGCUCAGAUUUUUAACCCUCUCAAAUAUUCGAGGGACGCCUACUCCCCUCCUGGGAGAAAGACUGCCUUCACUCAAGCCCUUACUUGAUUAGAACAAGCGGUCGCAAAUUGUAUUCAUCAUUUGAGUGUCUAUCCCCAUGAACUGAAUUGAAAUACCCCCAUGAGUUGAAGAAUUUAAGCUCGUACCCUUGUCAAUUUAUGGUGCGUUUUCUUCAUGUAAUGGGUAUGUGGUGGAAUGAGAAUGAGCUGGGAAUGAGGCUGAAAUAAAAAUAAAGAAUGAGAAUAAGAUUUUAAUGUUUCCUUGACAAAAAUAAAUGGAAAUGAGAAUAUACUGGAAUGCCAUUGAUGUGUUUACUUGGCAAAAUAAAUGGAAAUGAGAAAUGUGAAUAAAAAUCAAUUUACCAAAAUACCCAAAUAUUAAAUAAUGUAAUUUUCAUAAACUAGAUACAUAUAUAAAUAUUAUUAUAAAAAUGAUAUUAAUUAAAAAAUAAAAUUAAUAAUAAUAAUAAUAAUAAUAAUAAUGAUAAUAUUAAUAAAAAUAAUAUUAAUUAAAAAAAUAAAAUUAAUAAUAAUAAUAAUAAUGAUAAUAUUAAUAAAAAUAAUAAUAGCAAUAAUUAAUAAUAACUAAAAUAAUAGAGUUAAUAAAAUUUAAUAAUAAUCAUAAUAAUAAUGACAUUUAAAAUAAUAAAAUUAAUAAAUUUUGAUUAUAAUAAUAAUAAUAAAUGUUGAUAAUGAUAAUAUUAAUAAAAUAAUAAUAACAAUAAUUAAUAAUAACUAAAAUAAUAAAGUUAAUAAAAUUUAAUAAUAAUAAUAAUAAUAAUAAUAAUAAUAAUAAUAAAAACUCGUGUAAGUGACUUCAUUCAAGCGUGUGAUUUGAACGAGCAUAAUUCGGAAAAUAUGAAAAAAAAUAGAGGGAUACAAAAGUCAGUUCAGGAAAUGAGAAUCCCCAUUUCCAACCCUCCACGUGAAUGAGAUUCUUAUUUCUUAUUCUCAAAUUGUGUGAGACCCACAUAUUUUAUUCUCAUUCCCAAAUUAUAUUUUGCCAAAUAAACAUAAGUUUCAUUAUCAUUCAUUCAUCCUCAUUCCCUAAACCCUCAAGUAAACCACCGUUAAUUGAAAUGCGCCAUGAGUUGGAAGUUGCCAUCCCUUAAAUUGAAUUCAUUAUUAAGUUGCCACUGUAAACUGACUUUUGUCUCCGAUUAUUUCGUCAGCCCACAAACAAUUGAUAAUUACAUAAGCAGCACGCAACAAUCACAAACCGGGCCUAAGAAUGAAGCUUGCUUUGUUUGAGAAAAAGAAAAUGCUAAUAGAAACAAGAUAAAUUUGGUACCAAUUUAUUCACUUAAUUUUUUUUUAAAAAUAAACCAACACCCAAUUUACUCUGUUUCUAUCAGCGCUAAUCAUCAUUUUGUUUGCUUACAAUUAUUGUCAUGGACUCCAGGAUUUUGGAUAUAACAAUAUAUCCUGAAUACCAAUGAUAAUUACAAUACAUUAUAAUGCAACUUAACAUAAUAACAUCACCCCAUUUUCAUAGAAGACCAUUGAUUUGAGUGAAGGCUCUGUUGUUGACUCAAGACUAUUAACUUAAUGAUUUCUUGUUCUUUCUUGAGCAUGCAUUACCACCCAUGUGCUUCAAUUUCAACCCUCUGAUUGUCUUGCCAACUGAUCAUCACAAAAGGGUCCUCUUCUGAAUUCAUAAGUUGCAGUAUUUUGAAUUACAAGUCUCCUGUCAUCAAGUCUCCAUUCAGAUAUUUGAUUGAACCCCAAGCUGAAUUCUUCAAACACGCUGCUCAUCUUAACUGUUAAACAAUAAACUUUCAUUGUAAUUAAUUACAAGUUACUAAUUAAGUAUUUCUAUCAAAAACUAUUUAAAAUAAUUGAGGAACUUAUCCUCCUCUGCAAUAUGCGCUCGCAGCCACACCAAUCACUCCUUAAAGUCGCAUAAGAAAAAAUAAUGUGUUAAUCCAUGACAGCAGCCUCAUCCAAUUUGAAUAUGGCAUCAUCAUAUCUUAAAUAGAUAAUAUUAUGAUCUUUAUACGACAGACUACAUGACAUUUUAACUCAAUAAAUUGCAAACAAAAGUAUGGAGACAAGUAUAUUUAUUAAGAAGACAAUUAAUAACCAUUUUAUUAAAGGGUUAAAAGGCAUGUAAGUACUUUAAGGCAUGUAUUUUCACAGAAACCAUCUUUCUUCUACCAUCUCUCAUCUUUUCACCUUUUCAUUAUUUUCCCAUUCUUCAAAAUUUCUCUCUUCUAUAUUUCUCAAAUUAUGGUGUAUAUAUGUCAAAGGCAUGUAUUUUCUGAUUUAAGGGGCUGCUGGAAUUAGGAAUAUAGCUUGUACUCUUAUAGGUUGUUGGAAAUUAUCAAAAGCCACAGAGCAGGCAGAAAGUCAAUGAAGCCAUUGGAUUGGAUUGCUAUUGCAUAUUAAGCUCCUGUUGCUGCAGCUACUGCUACUUUUUAAAAUCCACUCAAUUGGUCAAGAAAUUUUUUCAGAUGCUCCUAAAAAUAUUUAUAUAUAUAAUAUGUUUGACUUAAGAUUAUACUCCAAACUGAGAACCAAUACACAGUUAAACAAAAAAGGUUUUCUUUCAGCUUUAGUUUUAUAACUCCAUCCUUGACGCACUAGAUUAAAUCACUAACUUUCAUACAAACUACAAAAGAGAAGUGCAUGCAAUUGUAUCACAAAAUCCAUAAAGUGUGUCAACACGAAAACAUUUAGAGAAAUUGGAUUAUUAAUUUUCAACAGAGAGUAUUAGAAUUUUUGCAGCGUCAAGAUCAGAACCAAACUAGAUGACAGAUACAAUAAGGCAAGUGGUGAAGAAAUAGCACGAAGACACUCAGAAAAAGCAAAUUUAAAUUUGACGAGCUCCAGAUGCUUAACCUAAAAAUAACAAAGAUAUUGCAGGUUUAUAUAAUAGGAAAGAUGACACAGAAAAAGCAUGGAAAAGCUCACAGCUCCGUUGAAAACCGAAAAUCCAGCAUUGGCUUGCAGCCACGCUCAGUCUCGUCCUGAAAUCAGACCGAAUUCUGGGUAUGUGUAAAACAGGACAGCAGCCUCAUCCAAUUAUGUUCACCUAUAAACAAUAUGAAGUCAUACGACGUUUUUGUCUAUAAAUGAGAAAAAUAAAGUACUAUUGAUCUUUUGAGAAACAUAAUUCUUUUUUUUUUUUUUUUGGCUAAGAAACAAAUCUUUUGAGAAACAUAAUGAUAAUUCGAAAUGAAAAAUAGAUACGAACAAUUAAGUGGAAAAUUUAAUUUGUGAGUGCAUUUCAAUUCAGUUUAUGGGGGCAUAAGCUUAAAUGAUGGGUGUAAUUUUAAGAGUCUUUUCUCUUAAUCAACCAGCAUGAAUAAUAUUGCCAAAUUGUUAAUACUUAUAGUUUACCAAACAUGUGCCUAACUACAUUUUUGUCUAAUUGAUUAUUUAAAAGGAUGGAGCUAGUAUUAGGCAAGUGGGGGCAGUUGCUCUCGCUUGAUUAAAACAGCCGAUAAAUUGCAUUCAUUAUUUAAGUCUCUAUCCACGUGAAUCUAAAAAUUCUAUUAAAAAACUUCUAUUUUUUUAACGAUAAUUUAAAAAGACUACCAAGAAAUUUCUUUUCCAAAGGCAUAUUUACCUGAACGAAGACUUGUUGAGAAGGACAAGGUUUAGCUACUCCAAUGCAGAAUAUAAAACACAAGAGGCUAGACUUAACAAUAUAUCCUCAAUACCAAUGAUAAUUACAAAAUCAUUUUCAGAGACCUUGUUAACUUACAUUAUAAUGUAACUUAACACCACCUCAUUUUCUGAGAAGACUAUUGACUUGAAUGAAGAAUCUGUUGUUGACUCAAGACUAUAGACCUGAAUGAAUUCUCGAUCUUUCUUGUGCAUGAAUUACCGCCUCAAUAAUUCAAUUUCAACCCUCUGAUUGUUUUGCCUACUGACCAUCACAAAAGGGUCCUCUGAAUUGACAAGUUGCAGUAUUUUGAAUUACAAGUCUCCUGUCUUCACUUCCCCAUUCAGACAUUUGAUCGAACACCAAGCUAAAUUCUUCAAACACCCUGCUAAUCUUAACUCUUAAAAUGUUCUGAUUGAAUUUUAAAUGGCAGUAAAUUUUUCACUGUAGUUAAUUACAAGUUACUAAUUAAGUAUUUCCAUAUUAGUUAAUUGUAUGAAAAUAAUCGAUGAACUUAUCCUCCUCUGGAAUUAUGAAUCUAGAUUGUACUCUUAUAGGUAUCGGAAAUAAUCAAAAGCCACAGAGCAAGAAGAAAGUCAUUGAAGCCCUUGGAUUGGAUUGCUGCUAUUGCAUAUUAAGCUCCUGCUGCAGCAGCUAGUGCUAUUUUUUAAAUCUACUCAAUUGGUCAAGAAAGUUUUUCGGAUGCUUCUAAAAAUAUUUAUAUGUAUAAUAUCUUUGACUUAAGAUUGUACUCCAAGCUGAGAACCAAGACACAGUUAAACAAAAAAGUUUUCUUUCUGUGUUAGUAUUUAUAAAUUCAGACCUUGACACACUAGACUAAAUCUCUAACUUUCAUACAAACUACAAAAGAUAAGUCCAUGCAAUUGCGUCACACAAUCCAUAAGUAUGUCAUCACAAAAACCUGUAGAGAAAUUGGAUUAUUAAUUUUCAACAGAGAGCAUCUGAAUUUUUGCAGCUUUUACAGCAUCGAGAUUCAGGACAAAACUAGAUAACAAAUACGCAAUAGGCAAGUGGUGAAGAAAUAGAGCGAAGACACCAGGAAAAGGCAAGUUUAAGUUCGAUAAGCUCCAGAUGCUCAACUGCAAAAUAACAGAGAUAUUGCAGGUUUAUAUAAUAGGAAAGAUGACACAGAAGAAGCAUGGACAAACUCACAGCUCUUUUGAAAGCCAAAACUCCAGCAUUGGCUUGCAGCCACACUCAGUCUCGUCCUGAAAUCAGAGUCAAUUUUGAUGACAUGAAGCCUUAUAAACAUAGUUAGAGAACAUUAAACUUUGUUCAUAUUGAAAAAUGGUUAACUCUUCCAUUUCUUGUCCACAUAAACCUUAAAGGCAGACACAAGGUCGCUUCUAGAACCUUUGACAGCAGCCACUAUACUAAAGAUGAUUCAAAACAAAAAUAUCAUAUUCACAAAAAUAAGAUAUACAGGAACAAGGAACUCUUACGUUCUAUUGAUCAAACACCAUCUAUUCCACCUGAUUACAUUCUCAAGAGGAAUUGAAAAAAUGUUUUGGAUAGGAAAGUUUGUUGGAUGCAUGCAAGUUUAUUUGCCACAGAGCUUCCAUUAUGGAGCAGUCUUCUUUCAAUAUCUCAGGCCAUGCAAAAGGGACAUAGCAUGUUAAUUCAAGUUGGACAAAAAGCAUGUGGUUCUUACAAAUGUGAUAUGUGAAUAAUGUGCGACUAAAACAAGUACAUCAAUGUAGUUCUGAGUCCUUUACAGUCAUAACCUGAAGUCUUUCGGGAUCAUCUCCGAUACUCUAUAUCUUAAGUUAACCAUUUUCUGUAUCAUUUUACAAUUAUACAACAAAGAUUAUCAGUCACUCCUUAUACCACCGAGGUAGAUACAAAUAAAGCAAUGAAAUAACUUUUACAACAACCUUCUCAGAUUCAAGUUUGUACCCACUAAUCCUUUAAAUUAUGGUCUUUCUUUUUCUUGAUUACUCUACUUAUCUCACAAUCAUCUUAUCCAAGAAUUGUCAUAGGUAGUGACCAAAACCUAACUUUGGGCUGGCUUUAC
rnacentral:lncRNA from 1 species